rnacentral:rRNA from 1 species
CCAGACUCCUACGGGAGGCAGCAGUGGGGAAUAUUGCGCAAUGGGCGAAAGCCUGACGCAGCGACGCCGCGUGAGGGAUGAAGGUCUUCGGAUCGUAAACCUCUGUCAGCAGGGAAGAACGGUCACUGUGCUAAUCAGCAGUGAAUUGACAGUACCUGCAAAGGAAGCACCGGCUAACUCCGUGCCAGCAGCCGCGGUAAUACGGAGGAUGCGAGCGUUAUCCGGAUUUAUUGGGUUUAAAGGGUGCGCAGGCGGCGUGUCAAGCAAGCGGUAAAAUAGCGGGGCUCAACCCCGUCGAGCCGUUUGAACUGGCGCGCUUGAGUUCAGGCGAGGUAGGCGGAAUUCGUGGUGUAGCGGUGAAAUGCAUAGAUAUCACGAAGAACUCCGAUUGCGAAGGCAGCUUACCAGUCUGCGACUGACGCUCAGGCACGAAAGUGUGGGUAUCGAACAGGAUUAGAUACCCUAGUA